UCCUUAGAUGUUCUGGGCCGCACGCGCGCUACACUGAUUCAUUCAUCAAGUCUAUAACCUUGGUAGAAAUGCUUGGGUAAUCUUUGAAACUGAAUCGUGCUGGGGAUUGGAGCUUGUAAUUAUUCUCCAUGAACGAGGAAUUCCUAGUAAACGCGAGUCAUCAGCUCGCAUUGAUUACGUCCCUGCCCUUUGUACACACCGCCCGUCGCACCUACCGAUUGAAUGGUCCGGUGAAAUCUUCGGACCGGGCGAUGGUCAGCAAUGGCCGCUGCCUGGAAAGUCGCUUAAACCUUAUCAUUUAGAGGAAGGAGAAGUCGUAACA
rnacentral:rRNA from 1 species